UGGUGAGUCAUUUUAAAAUUGCCAUGACAAUUUGGCGAUGAGGAUGGAAUUCCUUGGAUGUACUUUCUGGAACUGUGAGCGGAUGGUCACAGCACACCUUAGGACUUAAAAUCACAGCCCUACCCCGACCAGCUUAAGAAGAGGGGACGACUGCCAAGGUCUGGAAAGGACACCACAGGAAUCGACAAAGAGAUAAAUCAAUAAAUUCCCAUAAAAAAAUCAAACAAGUUUGUUGGUAAAUAGGGAAACUGAAACUAAAGGGGAACAAACCAUAUCAGAUGUGUUCCAGAUUUGUGGGGCAGAGAAGGUAAGAGCCCUAUCGCCUGCAAUGCCCCGAAAGUGGACGAGGACCUCGACUGCUCUCAGCCACGAUGACCAAUAGCAACGCCGACGACAGAACAGCCUGGUAAUGAUUUCACAGCCUGGUAUGAUGCAACCACAACUGGCAGCAGCACCAGUGACUCAAAAAUACCCAAACCUGUGGGCUACACAACUAAGAACGACCACAAAACCUGACGUGGCGGGGAAGAGGAAGUUUGUAAAAGGACUGAACAAAGCAAGAAGAGAUGCUGAAAACACUGGCUGUGUGAUAUGCAAGACUGAUGAUCACAAGACAAUAGACUGUACAAGAUGUUUUGUGUGCGAGAAGGAUGGUCGCUGGAGCAGGGACUGUCCAGAAAACCCGCAAAGAGAAGCUAACUGAGGAGGCGAGAGCAGAGUGCUAGAUGAAAGCGUCCAUGGCGAGCAAUCAGCAGCUCAGGGAAGUGAACAUUUUCUAACCACACACAUAUAUAUAUUGACUUACAUACUGCUAUCUGCAAUGAUGGAAAAGCUUGCUUGUCUUUAUGUGUAUCUGAUGAAAAUGAUGUAGGGCCAUGGUGAACAAACACACAAGCUACAAAAAGUGAUAACGUAACUCAGUCAACUGAUGCCGAGGUUAAGGUGUGACCUCUCUCAGCAUAAAUCAGAAGCGAUUUCAGGCUAGAAGAGACGGACACCAGCGCGAUGUAGGAAACGUUCUAUAAAGUAUAGGACAUCCCAGAGAUGCUAUCUCCAGAUGGGACAGAAACUCUGUAUUAAUGUAAAGUAAUUUAUGAGUGGAAGAAUAGCCAAACUGGGUGGGAACACGCCCUGUAGCCCGUCAUUGAUUGGAUAAGCACCCCUCUGGGCAAGUCCAAAUCAGCUGUUUAAAACUUUGAAGCAAGAAGCGAGGAAGAGAGAGGAAGAAAAGGAAAAAAGGCAAAGAAGAAGUCUGAGAGUUUUCCUCCAUCAGAGCAGUGCACAUUCCAUCACUUGCGCUGCAAUAACUCCACAAACUUGCUGUACGACUGGAAGUUGCCAAGGACCAAACGUGAGCUGCCACAAUGCAAAUCACUGAAAUGCUCCAGCGUUCCUUCAGCAAGAACUUCAUUGACCCUCUGCAGCUUUAACUUCCAAAUCUGAGCAACCAAAUGACGAGAGACUUUCCCGAACGCCUAUUCAAAUCGCUUGGGGAAUCCCAAAGAUGUCAUCCAAAACAAACGCCGCGACCAAUCAGAUAAGCCAGGAUUCCCUCAGAGAAAGUUUCCCUCUCUUAACUGAUUGGUGCAAAGUGAAAAGCUAAAAGGUUCUGAAGAAGAAUUCAUCAAGAACAUAGUCUCAGUCUUAAGACGUCACUCCUUUGAUGCUGUGAUGCCAAAAGCCCCUCAUGAAAAAAGAAACCCAUAGUGUUUACAACUGUGAUGACGAGCGCUUAUCAGGAUUGACUAAAUGCUGCAUUUUGCUGCAAGUUCACGGCAUAGAAUCUUUCAAAUAUGUCAGAGAAUUUUACAAGUUUGUUAUGGUGGCGAAAUUUCCACACCCUAAAACAUGAAGCUGCAUAAAACAAACUGUGAUUUAUUGUUUGGCAUGUCAGUCAAACUGCCUAACGGGCAGGCCUUCACCAAUAAAAGCUGCCAUGGGCCACACAAGGCUAUCAAAGACAUGACUGUUGGAAUUACAGUUGUGGGUAAAUGUAAAUAUGAUAUGAUAAUGAUAAUUUUUCUUUAAUUCUUCCUGUAAUUUCUAUAUAAUUAGUUUUUUUUUUAGUUUGUACUGACAUAAAAUAAAAUCAUGUUCAGUUUUCUAAUAAAUUUUUUUUAUUAUACUUAACUUUUAAUGUAUUCAUGUUUUUAAACUAACUGAAUGUUUUAAGAGUUUGUCCUUAACAUUUUGAAAUAGUGAAAAUGUGCUAUUUAUUUGAUUGAAUGUGCUUUUGCAAGUUUAGAAAAUAUGUCACAUUAAGUUCAAUGCACGUUUAAGCUAAAAUAAUUUAUAGUUAAUAAGUAAAUAAAACUUAAUUGAGUCAAAGUACAAAGACUAAAAAAAAAAAGAUCUGGUAGCAGAGUUUGAGUUGAUUUAUUGCAUCUGGGGAAAGCCCUGUGCGAGAAACAUUUAUUUAAUUCUUAGCUGAGAGUAUGUUUAUUUUUCUUCAUUCAUUAUGUGAGUUAUUUUGAUGAAUUUUACAAACAAAGCUGUUGGAUAUUUUUUGUUGUUGCUGUUGUUGUUUGUGGGUUGUAUGAUAUAAUAUUAAAUUAGGGUUUUUUUAGUAGAAGAGCUUUUUUGUUCUGCUUAAUGCAUAUGCACAGCAAGGCAGAGUGAAUUUCAAUUUUCGUUGCUGAAAUCAGAAAAGAUUGCAGUCAGCCUAUUCAGCUCUCCGUCAUGAAUAUGAUUGAAGGACUACUUUGACACUCUACAAUAUGGAUUAUAAGGACAUGUUUACGGCUGUCAUUCCCUCUUUUGGUUUCUUAAAUGACUCAUAAUUACAGGUAAGAUUGUUCUCUUUGACAUUUGCACGUAUAUUUCUUUUACACACUCAAAACCCCACCCAAAAUCAUAUAAUCAUUGUUUUAACUAAUAAUCUGUGUGGUUGUAAGUCAUUAGAUGUGUGAAUGUUAAAAUUUUAAUACAAAAAGGAAGGGGAAGAUAUGGAUCGGUAUUCAUUAUAAGACUUUGCAAAUUAAGUGAUCUAC